AGGGUGACGGGGGAGCACGGCCUGGAACCGCAGCUCGUCCUACAACUCUUCAGGCACCUCUUCUAUAGGGUCACCGCCUGGGCCCUAAAUCACCUCCUGCUCAGGAAGGAUCUGUGCUCCUGGAGCACCGGGCUGCAGCUCAGGUUCAACAUCAGCCAGCUGGAGGAGUGGCUGCGCAAGCAGCAGCUGCAGCACCCCUUAGGCCCCAUAAGACCCCA